CAAGUCGAGCGGACAGAUGGGAGCUUGCUCCCUGAUGUUAGCGGCGGACGGGUGAGUAACACGUGGGUAACCUGCCUGUAAGACUGGGAUAACUCCGGGAAACCGGGGCUAAUACCGGAUGGUUGUUUGAACCGCAUGGUUCAGACAUAAAAGGUGGCUUCGGCUACCACUUACAGAUGGACCCGCGGCGCAUUAGCUAGUUGGUGAGGUAACGGCUCACCAAGGCGACGAUGCGUAGCCGACCUGAGAGGGUGAUCGGCCACACUGGGACUGAGACACGGCCCAGACUCCUACGGGAGGCAGCAGUAGGGAAUCUUCCGCAAUGGACGAAAGUCUGACGGAGCAACGCCGCGUGAGUGAUGAAGGUUUUCGGAUCGUAAAGCUCUGUUGUUAGGGAAGAACAAGUGCCGUUCAAAUAGGGCGGCACCUUGACGGUACCUAACCAGAAAGCCACGGCUAACUACGUGCCAGCAGCCGCGGUAAUACGUAGGUGGCAAGCGUUGUCCGGAAUUAUUGGGCGUAAAGGGCUCGCAGGCGGUUUCUUAAGUCUGAUGUGAAAGCCCCCGGCUCAACCGGGGAGGGUCAUUGGAAACUGGGGAACUUGAGUGCAGAAGAGGAGAGUGGAAUUCCACGUGUAGCGGUGAAAUGCGUAGAGAUGUGGAGGAACACCAGUGGCGAAGGCGACUCUCUGGUCUGUAACUGACGCUGAGGAGCGAAAGCGUGGGGAGCGAACAGGAUUAGAUACCCUGGUAGUCCACGCCGUAAACGAUGAGUGCUAAGUGUUAGGGGGUUUCCGCCCCUUAGUGCUGCAGCUAACGCAUUAAGCACUCCGCCUGGGGAGUACGGUCG
rnacentral:rRNA from 2 species